AUGUAUAAACUUUUUCAUCAGAGUUACAGUUUAUUUUGUAAGAUUUUCCAAAGAUUUAACAAUACCCGAAAAAACCCUGAAAUUUCACCAAUUCCGAGAAUUCAUCAGUUUUUUAAACAUCAGUUAGCUGUUUCCAAAAGGCUACAACUAUGGAUCUGUACCUCCUAUGAGUUUGUGCCUUAUAUCAAUUUUGAACAUUUUUCUGUGAUCUACAUGUUAGUACCAAUUACAUCCAUAUUAGAGUUCAUUUGCUUGAUCAGCAACAACACUAAAGUAGCUAUGGAAAUAAAGUUGUUUUCGGUUUUUCUGUUAACAGAACAUUGA
rnacentral:rRNA from 1 species